UGCGACCCCAGGAUGGGCGAGACCACCCGCCGAGUUUAAGCAUAUCAAUAA
rnacentral:rRNA from 1 species